GGAUCUGAAGCAGGCUCCAGGCUCUGAGCUGUCAGCACAGAGCCCGAUGUGGGGCUUGAACUCAUGAACUGCCAGAUCAUGACCUGAGCCAAAGUUGGACACUUAACCAACUGAGCCACCCAGGCACCCCAAGAAAGAGAUAAUCUUAAGCAGGUUCCACACUCAGCAGGAGCCCAAUGCAGAGCUCGAUCCCACGACCCUGGGAUCAUGGCCUGAGCCAAAAUCGAGUCGUAUACUCAAGGAUGGACUGAGCCACCCAGGUGCCCCUACUUAGAAUAAAAAAAAUAAUUACAGAUAUCUUUACUAUUUACACACAGUUAAAUUUCUUUUUAAUAUUUAUUUUUGAGAGAGAGAAAGAGAGCGUACACACCUACAAGCAGGGGAGGGGCAGAGAGAGAGGGGGGCAGAGGAUCUGAAGCUGGCUCUGUGCUGACAGCAGUGAGUCUGAUGCAGGGCUCACACUCACAAACUGUGAGAUCGUGACCUGAGCCGAAGUCAGACACUUAACCAACUGAGCCACUCAGGCGUCCCGAUAUUUGUACAGAGUUUAGAAAUUCAAACAACAAAUGAAAAGUUGAUAAACCUUAACCCACCCCUCCCCAUCUUGGUACUAAUCUCUGGAAGGAAACAACUCUGUUUCAGUUUUCACGUCUCUGAGUAUUAAUCUGCUUCUCUAGAUAAUAAACACCCACCACUACCCAAUCAAUCUUAUAGAAUAUUUUCUAUUAGUUUUUGCUUUGGUAGAAUUUAGUUCUCCUCUCCCAUCACCCACCUUUCUGCCUCUGUUGGUUGCCAUCCUCACCCCUCCCUAUUUCUAUGCCCAUUGGCUUUGCAGACCCUCCCUCCUCUGUGACUCACCCUUUGACUAUGGGCCCAGCCAUGUGAUAUCCUUUGGCUAAUGGGAUGUUCAUAGACACGAUGCAGUCAGGGAUUAGAGGAUUGCUUGUGAGGUGGAAUCUGCUCUCUUGUAUCUCUGCCAUCACCUGAUGAGCCUGCUGGUCUCCAGAGAAGGAUAAAAGAUGUGCGGCAAAGCUCUUCCAGUGGACUCCUAGACCCACAGAAGGAAGCAAAGCUAUCUAGCCAGACUGCGCCUAGAGCAGCUGAACUCCAGCUCAUUUGCAGAGGUACUCCAAGAUUCCUGGAUACUAUCGUCUUCAGCAGAGAAAACCCGGAAAACCAUGGUGCUCAGGAUUUUUGACUGUCGUUGCUGGUCCUGCCACAUGGUGUCGCUGUUGAGACAGACAACCUUGCCCCGCUUGCCAUCUUCCUGGCCCAAGCCCAGCGACCUUAGGGGAAAGAG
rnacentral:lncRNA from 1 species